rnacentral:rRNA from 1 species
CUGCGGUAAAGGCUGUAGUUGACCAGCGGAAUGUAAUUUCUGGCGAUAUUGACAGAUUAUAAUUUUUAUUAUUUUUAUAGUAUUUUAAACCUCGAAUCAACGUAUAACAAAACGUAUGAAUUCAUCAUUUCGCAUCCCCCCCCCUUAAUCCAGGGAUGGUUCAAUGGGCAUGUCGGGGACCCUAUUACUAUAUCAUAUAACAUAUAUACUUGCCAUAGGUGAGUUAAUAAACGUCUGCCUAUAGGCCGCAAUAAAGCUAAAACCGGAGACGGUCCCCUUAAAUGUUCUUUGUAUGGUAAAAACUGGACCCUCCUGUGUGCUUGAUUUUAUUGCUUUAAAUUAGGAAAAUUCUAGAUUGAAUUGUUUGCUAAAAACAAACACGCAGGAGGCCUCAGUUNAUGGNGAAAUAAAAUCACUUGUCCUGAAUUCUGUGUNGAUGGUAGACCAAGUAUUCCUUCUAUUNGNUAUNNNGCNNUNNCGNCUAUGNGCCUUNUANCCGCAG